GUAGGUGAACCUGCGGAAGGAUCAUUAGCGAGAUUGCUGGGUGUUGAUUGUUGGGUGGGUGGGUUGAGGUGGUUGGAGUGGUUGUUGGUGUUGUUGUCUGUGGUUGUUUGCGGGACGGGGAAUCGUCCUGCAGUUGCCACAUUGUGUUGUAUAACCACAGUGCCACAUUGUGUUGUAUAACCACAGCAUCACAUCAUCACAUCAAAUCCACUCACUCACUCACACACAUCACCAUACCACUUAUAUUUAC
rnacentral:misc_RNA from 1 species